GGGGCUCUCCGUUUCUGAGUGAGGAGCUUCUGUAACAUCCAGGUGGAGACUAGAUUCGUUAGACUGGUGUAUUCCAGGGAACAAACACCGUUUUCUUUUGCCAGCAUGCAUUCUGUCACUCACUCAGUUCUUCUGAUCAUCUUAAUAUUCAGAGGGACCAAUGGUGACUCAGUGAACCAGACAGAAGGCCCAGUGACUGUCUCAGAGGGGGCUCUCAUGACCCUGAACUGCACUUACCAGACUGCUGGUUCAGCUCUCUAUCUGUUCUGGUACGUUAAGCAUCUCAACAAAGCUCCUCAACUCCUCCUGGAGGGCUCGACGACAAACCAGAAGCCCGAGCAUGAAGGUUUUCAGGCCACUCUUGUUAAGAAGGACAGCUCCUUCCACCUGCAGAAACAGGCAGUGCAAGCAUCAGACUCGGCUGUGUACUACUGUGCUCUGAGGGACACAGUGAUGGAGGGCUGCAGGGGGAGCUGAGCACAAACCCAGAUGC